GCGGAGUCAAACGCGUUUAAUCCGAACCCCUCCUUUCGGGUGACCUAAAUAGUUUGGUUCACGUCGAAGGUAUCAACGUCAACGAAAGCGAGUCUUAAUCGAAUUUAAUCGAGUUACAUGGAUAAACACAUUGGACAUUAGAAACAUUGCUCGAAUCUUGUCCCCUGGACAUUGGAGGACUUUUGGUGUGGAUGAUGUUCAGGACCUACCAAUGCAAAGUUUCUCAAACAAAUGUGGGGUGUUUGUUUUGAUGGUCUGAAGAAGUGAGGUUGAAAGAUUGAAAAAGGAGGCGAAAACAAAACACAGGAUGAUGUAUGACUCUCCCCCAAGAAGUCACAGCAUGUCACAUCAGCCUCCAGCUCUGCAGGAUCAGGAAGCAGCAAGGUGGUGCGAAUGGCAAACAUUUAAAGGCACCAUUUCCCUCCCUAGUGUAAUUGGGAUGGAGGGGGAAGACCGUAUUACAACCCUUAAAGAACUACGGUUGUAUGAUGGCCUGGAUGAGGAGGAAAAUAUUAUUCUCAAGAAACCAUUCAUGUUCUCAUUCCAGUUACAGAGAGAUUAUUAGAUGUUCUAUGUGGAGGCAGUUGACAACAAAAAAAAUGACUGUCUUUGCCUCUUUUGAGGAGCAGGAGUGAAGCAAUUUUUGAGGAGUGGUCAAACCUUGUUUUUGUCUGCUGUGUUAUUUGUUUCAUUUGUUAAUUGUGUUAUGUUGUUUAGUAAAGAUGACUUAGAAGUCA